rfam:Mustela putorius furo unplaced genomic scaffold scaffold00030, whole genome shotgun sequence.
UGGGGCUAUCAAGUGUAACAGCAACUCCAUGUGGACUGUGUGCCAAUUUCCAGUGGAGAUGCUGUUACUUUUGAUGGUUAC